rnacentral:rRNA from 1 species
GAUUAACGCUAGCGGCAGGCCUAAUACAUGCAAGUCGAACGGGAUUAUUGGUAGCAAUACUGAUAUGAGAGUGGCGCACGGGUGCGUAACGCGUAUGCAACCUACCUUUAACUGGGGGAGUAGCCUCCGAAGGAAGAUUAAUACCGCAUAACACAAUGAAGUGGCAUCACUAUAUUGUCAAAACUACCGGUGGUUAAAGGAUGGGCAUGCGUAAUAUUAGCUAGUUGG